UGGAACUCUGUUUCACCGAGUAGAGCAGGAGAGAAAGGUUCGAUUUUAGCCUUCCCGUUGCUACCAACCGCAGAGAGGAAAGAAGAACAGAAAUUUCUUUGUCCUCUGUUCCGUUCCUUUCUGCGAAGAACAGAAAUUUCUUUGUCCUCUGUUCCGUUCCUUUCUGCGAAGAACAGAAAUUUUUUUUCAGUUUCAAGAUCCGAUCUGCCCCAAUAUUUUCCCGGGCCCCUUUUCUACGAUGAGUAGAGGAAGAAAGUUUUCGAUCUUGAAAGAGCAGAGCGUCCCCGAUCUCUCUGGUCGCAGCCUCGCCUCCGCUGGAAGGAAUCAGCCACCGAGCCCCUUUUCCCCGAUGAGAAGCAGGGGAAAGGGGGCGGUGCAGAGACCCUCUCUUCUCCCUUCUCGGAUCUCGCUGGAAGAAGGAGAGCAGAUCUCCACUGUUCGGGCUCCUUUUUCCCGAUUAGAAGAGUAAGGAGACCCCUCCUUUGUUCGUGCAAGAGAAACAGAGCAGAUCUCCCACCUUCUUCGAUCUCGCUGAAAGAAGGAGAACAGAAUAGGUUCCGUUUCCCCCUCUUUCUUCCAUUCCCUUCUGCGAAGAAGAAUCAAGGAUAGCGUAUCGCUUGCUUAAAUGUUAAGAUUGGGCUGAGGCGGUGGAAAGUUUAGAAGAUUUUGGGCAGAUCUUUGUUAGCAUAUGUGUAUAUGUUGUAUAAGAUACUUUGCAUCUUAUGAAAUGUGACGAUAAAUCUAAACGUGUGGAUUUUGUGUAAGAUCCCUCAUGUAUAAGAUUUUGGAAUGUUAAGUUAAAUUUAUGUAAUGAUAUGAUCUUAUGGUAAUCGUUGGUUUGGUGA